rnacentral:rRNA from 1 species
GAAUUUAAGCAUAUAAUUAAGCGGAGGAAAAGAAACUAACAAGGAUUCCCUCAGUAAGGGCGACUGAAGCGGGAAUAGCUCAAGAUGUGAAUCUGCGCUGAGUGCGUCGAAUUGUGGUCUGUAGACCGUGACGUCAUCUGCCGGGCCAAGUCCCUUGGAAAAGGGCAGCAGAGAGGGUGAGACUCCCGUCCGCCUGGUGGAACGAGUCACGUGUCAACGAGUCGAGUUGUUUGGGAUUGCAGCUCAAAGCUGGUGGUAAAUUCCAUCUAAAGCUGAAUAUUGGUGGGAGACCGAUAGCGUACAAGUACCGUGAGGGAAAGAUGCAAAGAACUUUGAAAAGAGAGUUAAAGAGUACCUGAAAUUGCUGAAAGGGAAGCGAAGGAAACCAGUGUGUUGGCAGCCAUAUUUCCCUCGCCACUUGUGGUGUGGGCGCUGUGUCUGUCAGUGGUUCCGCUUGGUUGUGGCUGGUGGAAGAGCGCAGUCAGAGUUGAUGUCUGUUGCUGGCACCGGUGGUGACUGAGCGAGACGAAAUGGUUUUCUUUACCCCGUCUUGAAACACGGACCAAGGGA